AGUGAACGCUGGCGGUAGGCCUAACACAUGCAAGUCGAACGGCAGCACAGUAAGAGCUUGCUCUUACGGGUGGCGAGUGGCGGACGGGUGGGGAAUACAUCGGACUCUACUUUUUCGUGGGGGAUAACGUAGGGAAACUUACGCUAAUACCGCAUACGACCUACGGGUGAAAGCAGGGGAUCUUCAGACCUUGUGCGAUUGAAUGAGCCGAUGUCGGAUUAGCUAGUGGGCGGGGUAAAGGCCCACCAAGGCGACGAUCCGUAGCUGGUCUGAGAGGAUGAUCACCCACACUGGAACUUAGACACGGUCCAGGCGCCUACGGGAGGCAGCAGUGGGGAAUAUUGGACAAUGGGCGCAAGCCUGAUCCAGCCAUACCGCGUGGGUGAAGAAGGCCUUCGGGUUGUAAAGCCCUUUUGUUGGGAAAGAAAAGCAGCAGGUUAAUACCCCGCUGUUCUGACGGUACCCAAAGAAUAAGCACCGGCUAACUUCGUG
rnacentral:rRNA from 1 species